rnacentral:rRNA from 1 species
GAUUAGAGUUUGAUCCUGGCUCAGGAUGAACGCUAGCGGCAGGCUUAAUACAUGCAAGUCAAGGGGGUAGCAAUACAACCGGCGCACGGGUGAGUAACGCGUACACAACAUACCAUAUACUGGGGUAUAGCUUUGGGAAACUGAAGGUAAUCCCCCAUAACAUUGCGAGAGGGCAUCUUAUUGCAAUUAAAGUUUCGACGGUAUAUGAUUGGUGUGCGUUUGAUUAGCUAGUUGGUAGGGUAACGGCCUACCAAGGCGACGAUCAAUAGCUGGCGUGAGAGCGCGACCAGCCACACUGGAACUGAGACACGGUCCAGACUCCUACGGGAGGCAGCAGUAGGGAAUAUUGGACAAUGGGCGAAAGCCUGAUCCAGCCAUGCCGCGUGAUAGAUGAAGGCCCUCUGGGUUGUAAAUAUCUUUUAUCUGGGAAGAAACUCCUCUAUUCUUAGAGGCCUGACGGUACCAGAGGAAUAAGCACCGGCUAACUCCGUGCCAGCAGCCGCGGUAAUACGGAGGGUGCAAGCGUUAUCCGGAUUCACUGGGUUUAAAGGGUGCGUAGGCGGGUUGAUAAGUCAGUGGUGAAAGCUCCGAGCUUAACUUGGAAACUGCCAUUGAUACUGUCAGUCUUGAAUAUCGUAGAGGUAAGCGGAAUGUUGCUAGCGGUGAAAUGGAAC